UAGGGAAUCUUCGGCAAUGGACGGAAGUCUGACCGAGCAACGCCGCGUGAGUGAAGAAGGUUUUCGGAUCGUAAAGCUCUGUUGUAAGAGAAGAACGAGUGUGAGAGUGGAAAGUUCACACUGUGACGGUAUCUUACCAGGAAGGGACGGCUAACUACGUGCCAGCAGCCGCGGUAAUACGUAGGUCCCGAGCGUUGUCCGGAUUUAUUGGGCGUAAAGCGAGCGCAGGCGGUUAGAUAAGUCUGAAGUUAAAGGCUGUGGCUUAACCAUAGUACGCUUUGGAAACUGUUUAACUUGAGUGCAAGAGGGGAGAGUGGAAUUCCAUGUGUAGCGGUGAAAUGCGUAGAUAUAUGGAGGAACACCGGUGGCGAAAGCGGCUCUCUGGCUUGUAACUGACGCUGAGGCUCGAAAGCGUGGGGAGCAAACAGGAUUAGAUACCCUGGUAGUCCACGCCGUAAACGAUGAGUGCUAGGUGUUAGACCCUUUCCGGGGUUUAGUGCCGUAGCUAACGCAUUAAGCACUCCGCCUGGGGAGUACGACCGCAAGGUUG
rnacentral:rRNA from 1 species